UCAGUAGGGGAUAGCCCGGCGAAAGUCCGGAUUAAUACCCUAUGUUGUCCGACGAAGACAUCUGAAUCGGACCAAAGAUUCAUCGCUGAGGGAUGGGGAUGCGUCUGAUUAGGUAGUCGGCGGGGUAACGGCCCACCGAGCCAUCGGAUCAGUAGGGGUUCUCGAGAGGAAGGUCCCCCACAUUGGUACUGAGACACGGACCAAACUCCUACGGGAGGCAGCAGUGAGGAAUGUUGGUCAAUGGGCGCGAGCCUGAACCAGCCAAGUAGCCGUGCAGGAUGACGGCCCUAUGGGUUGUAAACUGCUUUUGCCGGGGAAUAAAGUUCGCCACGCGUGGCGUUUUGUAUGUACCCGGAGAAUAAGGACCGGCUAAUUCCGUGCCAGCCGCUGC
rnacentral:rRNA from 1 species